rnacentral:rRNA from 1 species
UUGAUCUCAAAUCAGGUAGGACUACCCGCUGAACUUAAGCAUAUCAAUAAGCGGAGGAAAAGAAACUAACAAGGAUUCCCCUAGUAACUGCGAGUGAAGCGGGAAGAGCUCAAAUUUAAAAUCUGGCGUGCCUCUGGUCGUCCGAGUUGUAGUCUGGAGAAGCGUUU